AACGAACGUUAGCGGCGCGCUUAACACAUGCAAGUCGAGCGAGAAAGGGCUUCGGCCCCAGUACAGCGGCGCACGGGUGAGUAACACGUGGGUAAUCUACCCCUGAGUGGUGGAUAACCCUCCGAAAGGAGGGCUAAUACAGCAUAAGACCACGGCGUCCUCGGAUGUCGCGGCCAAAGCGGGCCUCUUCAUGAAAGCUCGUGCUCGGGGAUGAGCCCGCGGCCCAUCAGCUUGUUGGCGAGGUAAAAGCUCACCAAGGCAAAGACGGGUAGCUGGUCUGAGAGGAUGAACAGCCACACUGGAACUGAGACACGGUCCAGACUCCUACGGGAGGCAGCAGUGGGGAAUCUUGCGCAAUGGGCGAAAGCCUGACGCAGCGACGCCGCGCGAGCGAUGAAGGCCCUCGGGUCGUAAAGCUCUGUGGGGAGGAAAGAAUAAGGGUAGGUUAAUAUCCUGCCUGAUGACGGUACCUCCUUAGCGAGCACCGGCUAACU
rnacentral:rRNA from 1 species